GAUGGCGGCCGCCCGACCAACUAGAGAGAGGAGCUGCUCUAGUCCUCGUCGCCCUUCCUCAACGCCCACACCGCCACGGAGCCCGGGCCGAAGACAAGGCGCUCGAUCUGGAACCUCCAGAUCUCCUGCAUCUCCCACUUCGCCGCGUCCGACGCCGGCUGCUAGAAGGUGUCUAAUGCGUCCAUGCCACUAAAUGGGUUGCCAUCCUUCUCAAAAUCAUCGGAGAGACCAGAGGCGGCAGCCAUGGCAGUCCCAGACAUGUUCCUCUCGUCCCCCGUGAUCAAUGAGCCCUACCCUGGUGCCCCGAGCGCCAACAGCAGCGCUAUCACGGACACCGGAGAGCAGCAGCGGCAGCAGUCGCGGAAGGCCGGGUGGUGCUGGUCGAGGUCAAGAGCCAUCAGGGUACACACGCGAUGAACAUCUCACAGUGAUCGGCAGCAGCAGUCUGCCGGCGUGUGGCCAGAGCAGUACAACAUGUCGCAGAACAGCACGUCGCAAUCCGGCUCGCCCCAGGGACCCCUGCAGCUCACCAUGUCGAGCCAGCGGCGUCGCCAGCGGCAGUACCGUGUUUGCUCCUCGCUGGCUACGAGAAAUUGAACAAAACAUGCAAUUGUAAAGUACACGUUUGUGCCUGUGUGUGAUGAUGAACUGUUCGAAUUUACUCUGUGUAUAGAAAAGUCGAAGUGUAAUUUUGUAAUUUUGUACGCUGAUGAAUUCGUGUUUAGUGGAAAUAGUAAUUCAUGCAUGCUAGUGUGCAAUUGUCUA